rnacentral:misc_RNA from 1 species
AACCAUAGAAACCUGCGGAGUACCUGCGGAAGGAUCAUUACAGAGUUGCAAAACUCCCUAAACCAUUGUGGACGUUACCUAAACCGUUGCUUCGGCGGGCGGCCCGGGUCCUUCCCGGCGCCCAUCGGCCCUCGCGGGCGCCCGCCGGAGGUAAACCAAACUAUUGCAUUGUAUGGCCUCUCUGAGUCUUCUGUACUGAAUAAGUCAAAACUUUCAACAACGGAUCUCAGAUCGGAAGAG